AUGACAUAUACAUGGUGGACACCCCCAAAGCAGGGGAUGGCGAUGAAAAAACAGAGGACGACCCCUCCAAGAAGCAACCCAAAGCGCCGACGUCAGCGGCACCGCUCUAAAUCCCGCCAAAGCAAAAACGGCGAGUCCGACAUCGAAGAUAACAACACGUCGGACAGUGCCGAAGACAACCCCCUCCAGCAAGAUUCAGCACAGGAGAACGAAGAAGCCAGCCCUCAUGAGAGAGCUGAGGACAGGAAGGUCGAGGACGACAAUUAUAUGCCUCCCUCCGAAGACGAGGCAAGCCUCGACGACGAUGAAUUCGUCGUGCCAGAGGAUCCCGUCGAAUAA
rnacentral:rRNA from 1 species